rnacentral:rRNA from 1 species
ACGCGUGGACAACCUGCCCUAUGCAGGGGGAUAACAUCCGGAAACGGGUGCUAAUACCGCAUAAGCGCACAGUACCGCAUGGUACGGUGUGAAAAGCUGAGGCGGCAUAGGAUGGGUCCGCGUUGGAUUAGGCAGUUGGCGGGGUAACGGCCCACCAAACCGACGAUCCAUAGCCGGCCUGAGAGGGUGGACGGCCACAUUGGGACUGAGACACGGCCCAG